UCGAGCGGCGGACGGGUGAGUAAUGCCUAGGAAAUUGCCCUGAUGUGGGGGAUAACCAUUGGAAACGAUGGCUAAUACCGCAUGAUGCCUACGGGCCAAAGAGGGGGACCUUCGGGCCUCUCGCGUCAGGAUAUGCCUAGGUGGGAUUAGCUAGUUGGUGAGGUAAGGGCUCACCAAGGCGACGAUCCCUAGCUGGUCUGAGAGGAUGAUCAGCCACACUGGAACUGAGACACGGUCCAGACUCCUACGGGAGGCAGCAGUGGGGAAUAUUGCACAAUGGGCGCAAGCCUGAUGCAGCCAUGCCGCGUGUGUGAAGAAGGCCUUCGGGUUGUAAAGCACUUUCAGUCGUGAGGAAGGUAGUGUAGUUAAUAGCUGCAUUAUUUGACGUUAGCGACAGAAGAAGCACCGGCUAACUCCGUGCCAGCAGCCGCGGUAAUACGGAGGGUGCGAGCGUUAAUCGGAAUUACUGGGCGUAAAGCGCAUGCAGGUGGUUUGUUAAGUCAGAUGUGAAAGCCCGGGGCUCAACCUCGGAAUUGCAUUUGAAACUGGCAGACUAGAGUACUGUAGAGGGGGGUAGAAUUUCAGGUGUAGCGGUGAAAUGCGUAGAGAUCUGAAGGAAUACCGGUGGCGAAGGCGGCCCCCUGGACAGAUACUGACACUCAGAUGCGAAAGCGUGGGGAGCAAACAGGAUUAGAUACCCUGGUAGUCCACGCCGUAAACGAUGUCUACUUGGAGGUUGUGGCCUUGAGCCGUGGCUUUCGGAGCUAACGCGUUAAGUAGACCGCCUGGGGAGUACGGUCGCAAGAUUAAAACUCAAAUGAAUUGACGGGGGCCCGCACAAGCGGUGGAGCAUGUGGUUUAAUUCGAUGCAACGCGAAGAACCUUACCUACUCUUGACAUCCAGAGAACUUUCCAGAGAUGGAUUGGUGCCUUCGGGAACUCUGAGACAGGUGCUGCAUGGCUGUCGUCAGCUCGUGUUGUGAAAUGUUGGGUUAAGUCCCGCAACGAGCGCAACCCUUAUCCUUGUUUGCCAGCGAGUAAUGUCGGGAACUCCAGGGAGACUGCCGGUGAUAAACCGGAGGAAGGUGGGGACGACGUCAAGUCAUCAUGGCCCUUACGAGUAGGGCUACACACGUGCUACAAUGGCGCAUACAGAGGG
rnacentral:rRNA from 1 species